AGAGUUUGAUUAUGGCUCAGAACGAACGCUGGUGGCGUGCUUAUACAUGCAAGCGAGCGAGGCAGCAAUGCCGAGCGGCGAACGGGUGAGUAACGCGUAAGCAAUCUGCCCCAUAUCAGGAAAUACCCGUGCCAACGCGCGGUUAAUGUCCAGGAGAGUGGCCCUCUGCAUGGAGGGUUGACUAGAGAUUUAUCGGUAUGGGAUGAGCUUGCGUCCGAUUAGCUAGUUGGCGGGGCAACGGCCCACCAAGGCGACGAUCGGUAGCCGGCCUGAGAGGGUGAUCGGCCACAUUGGGACUGAGAUACGGCCCAGACUCCUACGGGAGGCAGCAGUAGGGAAUAUUGCACAAUGGGGGAAACCCUGAUGCAGCAACGCCACGUGUGGGAAGAAGCAUUUCGGUGUGUAAACCACUGUCAUGAGGAUAGCCGCUCCGAGGCCUUGAUGCCUUGAGAGGAAGCACCGGCAAACUUCGUGCCAGCCGCUGC
rnacentral:rRNA from 1 species